rnacentral:rRNA from 1 species
UACGUAGGGUGCGAGCGUUAAUCGGAAUUACUGGGCGUAAAGCGUGCGCAGGCGGUUCGUUGUGUCGGCGGUGAAAGCCCCGGGCUUAACCUGGGAAUGGCCGUUGAAACUGGCGAACUGGAGUGUGGCAGAGGGGGGUGGAAUUCCGCGUGUAGCAGUGAAAUGCGUAGAGAUGCGGAGGAACACCGAUGGCGAAGGCAGCCCCUGGGCUGACACUGACGCUCAGGCACGAAAGCGUGGGGAGCAAACAGG